rnacentral:tRNA from 1 species
UGAUAUAGCUCAGUCGGUAGAGCGCAUCCUUGGUAAGGAUGAGGUCGGCGGUUCAAAUCCGCCUAUCA